CCCUUAGACGUUCUGGGCCGCACGCGCGCUACACUGACCAGUGCAACAAGCAUCCGUCCUUGGCCGACAGGCUCGGGCAAUCUUUGAACGCUGGUCGUGAUGGGGAUAGACUUUUGCAAUUUUUGGUCUUCAACGAGGAAUUCCUAGUAAACGCAAGUCAUCAACUUGCAUUGAUUACGUCCCUGCCCUUUGUACACACCGCCCGUCGCACCUACCGAUUGAAUGGUCCGGUGAAGCCUCCGGAUUGGCGUGCACCCUCGGGUGCUGCCGAGAAGUUGGCUAAACCUUACCAUUUAGAGGAAGGUGAAGUCGUANCA
rnacentral:rRNA from 1 species